rnacentral:rRNA from 1 species
AACGAACGUUAGCGGCGCGCCUAACACAUGCAAGUCGAGCGAGAAAGGGCUUCGGCCCCGGUACAGCGGCGCACGGGUGAGUAACACGUAGGUAACCUACCCUCGAGUGGUGGAUAACCUUCCGAAAGGAGGGCUAAUACAGCAUGAGCCCACGGCGUCGAGAGACGCAGGGGGUAAAACGCCGGCCUCUUCAUGAAAGCUGGUGCUCGAGGAUGGGCCUGCGGCCCAUCAGCUAGUUGGUGAGGUAAUGGCUCACCAAGGCGAAGACGGGUAGCUGGUCUGAGAGGAUGAUCAGCCACACUGGAACUGAGACACGGUCCAGACUCCUACGGGAGGCAGCAGUGGGGAAUCUUGCGCAAUGGGCGAAAGCCUGACGCAGCGACGCCGCGUGAGUGAUGAAGGG